AGGCAACAAUAAAGAGGGGAGGACGUGAAAGUAAGGAAGAAACAGAAAAAUGGAAGAUACGAAAAAACAGCAAAAAAAAAAAAAAAAAUAGAGCUUGAAAUCUCACAAUCACUCAUCUUCCUCAGAUUCCUUUUGAACAUAAAUAGUGGCUAUAUUCUAUCCAAAUCUAGCUGGGUUGAAAUUAAUCUAUCAAAACAACGUAAUGGAGAUCGAUUUCGUCGGUUGAGUUGAUGUCGAGUGGUUGAGGCUGAGAUCCGGUACGUAGUAAUAUGUGCUUUAUUCCAAUUCAAAGUGCAAUUACAUUCAAGACAAAAUUAUAUAAUACAAAGGUCCUUUCCUUUUUUCUAUCUUGCUUUAAUUUUUACUUCGUAUAUCAUAAAUUAGUGGUUUAUUUGUUAUGUUUCAUCACGUUUUGAUUAUUUUUUUUUUGCUUAAUUUGUGCUUGUUGUGUGGAAUAUAAAUAAUAAUAAUUUUUGACUUUUUCUUUCUUUUUUUUGGAUUUCGUAAGAGUGAUAUGUGCUGAAAUUCCUUCUCAUCGUGAGUUUGAUUAGUUUAAUAAGAUCAUAAAUUGGACGAUAGUUUUGAUUAUUAAAAAGGGGAACAUGAAAUUGUUUUGGGAUUUCUCUCACUUCGUCUCUGAUUGCUCAUUAUCAGUGUGUAUGUGCUUUAUUGGAUUUUGUUUAGUUAUUUUUUUAAGCUAAUCUUUAUUGAUUCCACGUAGUAUUUUGUUGAGCUUAGUUUCAAAUGGACGUUUAAGUGGAUAUGUGUGAUCUUUGUGCUUACUCCAAUUAUUUUUCGUAGUCCUCCAUCUUAGUUUUAUUAUAAGUUUAAUACAUGGUUUAUAUAUGGAUUUAAAUAUGGAAAUUAGUAAAAAUUUGAUAUUUUGGUAGAAAAUUUAGAAUUUGGUAUUUUUGGAUUUUGACCACGAAAUUAGAUAUAAAAUUGAGAAUAAAUCACAUAUUUGAGUUCGUAGUGUUAUGGAUAAAGUUUAUCUUCGAAACAUUUCGGAAUCCUAGCACGUGACUUUAUUGACUAUUCGAGCGGAGUUGAAAAUUGUCUAAAUUUAUUAAUUAUGGGUAUUAGAGUAUAUUUUGAUUGGUUUGCAUAUUGAUUGACUAGUUUUGGAUCGACGGGCAUAAGUUUGAGGUGUUAGAGAGGCUUUGGAGCCGGUUAUAGAAUUUCGGAGCGAGGUAAGUCUCCUGUCUAACUCUGUGAGGGGAAACUACCCCUAGGUGAUAUAUUUGAUAUGUGCUACUUGUUGCGGGGGCUACGUACGCACGAGGUGACGAGAAUCCGUACAGAGCCAAAUUCAUGUUAUUGUCCAGGUGGACUUAUGUUCACACCAUGCCAUAAUUGUACUAUAAGGGUUAUCUUUGCUCGUUUAACUCCUUUAUUUGGCAUUACGACUUGAGACUAGACUUGCGUAGAGUGAUAGACUUGCUAUUGUAGAGAUUUGACGGGCUUCAUGGUUAGCCACAGAUUAAUUGUGCUCGUCUUGCGAAAUUUCUCCCGCGCUAUGCGUUUUCAUCGAAAGAUCUUCCUUAAAAUUUAUAAAUCACACGUUUAUUCGUGAGUGGGGUCAAGGACUCGUUAAUGUUUCUUAUUCUAAUGGGAUCAGGCCGUUCGCCUCGACAGGAUUAUGUACCACACUCUCAUGGGAGCGGGUCGUUCACCUCGGCAGUAUAAUAGAUGCAUCUAUGGUUCGUGUCGUUCGACCCUCGGCAGUGCACACAGUAUGAUGGAAUCGGGCCGUACGCCUCGGCAUUUCUAUAAAAUACUCAUAUGGAAUCGUACGCAAUAUUUGACAAGAAGCCUGUGUAUCUGUGAGUUUUUCCUGAUUUGAAUUGUGAUGACCUAUUUGGGGAGGCCCAUUAUGUAUUUAUAUAUAUACUCCGGUUUAGGAAGUAACUGCUAAUUGAGAGCCUGGGUUUAUUGUUGAGAGGAGGAUUGUACAUGGUAUUUAUACUUGUUUAUUUCGUUUAUUUACUCUGCCUCACAACUGUUACUUCUACUGUAUCUGUCUUAUUAUACCACUAGUAAGUAUCGAUGUUGACCCCUCGUCACUACUUCUCUGGGUUUAGGCUAGAUACUUACUGGGUACGCGUUGAUUUACGUACUCAUGCUACACUUGCUGUACUUAUUGUGGGGUAUAUUUAUGUUUCCGGUAGUCCUCUAGGUGCAGAGGCGCGACUUUUGCAGGGACUUUUCGGUGAGCUACAUUUUCUUGUUACGAUCCGCUGCAUACAGAGUCUCCAUCAGAGUUAUUUAUUUUCCCCGUCUAACUUGUAUUCUAGACGGUUAUUAUAUUAUUAUUGUACUCCUUAGUAGAUGCUCAUGUACUUGUGAUACCGAAUUUUGGAAGUUUCUACUGAUUGUUCCUUAUUGUAGUUCAUGCAAUUAUUAUCAUUUCACCUUGAGAUUUAUAUUUUUAUACAGGAAUUGAAAAAAUAAUAUCAUGG
rnacentral:lncRNA from 1 species